AACUGAUACUACCUGCGGGAACCUGCGGAAGGAUCAUUACCGAGUGAGGGCCCUCUGGGUCCAACCUCCCACCCGUGUUUAUCGUACCUUGUUGCUUCGGCGGGCCCGCCUCACGGCCGCCGGGGGGCACCUGCCCCCGGGCCCGCGCCCGCCGAAGACAUCAUUGAACUCUGUCUGAAGAUUGCAGUCUGAGUAGAUUAGCUAAAUCAGUUAAAACUUUCAGCAACGGAUCUCUAGAUC
rnacentral:misc_RNA from 1 species